UUACUAUUGCUAAAUAUAAAAAGUGUCAACAUGUGGGUUUAAUCGAAAGAAAGAAUAAUAGCAAUUAAAUGAUACCCUUGUCUCUCUAAGUAUUAGUGACGAUUAUACGAAAAGCAAGUUAAUAAUGAUGAUAAUAAUAAUAAUGAUAAUAAUAAUAAUAAUAAUAAUAAUAAUAAUAAGGAACGAUAUAGAAGAAGCAAUUAUAUGGGUUUCGGCUCUCGGAAAAGCUGUACUGUGGCAUGCCGACAAAUGAAGGGACAAAGGGCCGCUUUAUUUCGGUUCUUGCGACCUCGACAUUAACGAGAAGACGACGGUGGAACGUUUGAAAAGGGCUAAAGAGGGCGAAAUUUUCAAAGAAAAGAAGGACUUUCUUGUUAAAUUAUUUCUUUAUCUCUCUUUUCUUUUUUUUUCAUGCAUCUUAUAGUAUAGAAAAAGCUUAUCCACCUGUUCUUCUUUUCAUAAGAAUGAGAAAAAUAAAGUUAAAGAAGAAGAAGAAGAAGAAGAAGAUGAAGAAAAAAAGAAGUUAGAAUACAAUCCAUUUGGGAAAUCGAAAGGAGCGUUCGGACGUUGCGUGAUAUUUCUGUGGAAUCAAGUUUCAGAGAGUAGUAUCUUGAAGCUAUCGCAAUUUUUAUUCCACCAUGGGUUAUGAGAAAUACAGGAAGUUGUGAGUUAUCACACUUGUAAGAGAAAAAAGGAUAGGAGGAGUUUGUGUGUGUGUGUGAGAGAGAGAGAGAGAGAGAGAGAGAAAAGCAUAAAAUAGGAAAAUAAAUUCAAAUAGUUCUUUUUAAAACGCUUCGAAGCUCUCGUAAUGCCAAGAGAAACUCUUGCUGAGAAUACUGUCGUUGAGUUUAAUCGUGGAUGAAUCGAUUCGGAACAUUCAGAGGAGCAAGGAUGGUGGAUGGACCAAAAGGAUAGAAAGAGAGAGAGAAGGAGAGAGAGAGAGAGAAGUUUCACGGCACAACGACCGUUCCUAAUUAGUUCCUUGUAUUACUUAACCCGACUCGACGUUGGACACAGCGAGAAAUUGUAUGAGUUUCGAAGCGUUGCACAGUUCAACCUUGACUAAUUUGGAUCGUUUGCGUUCUAGCAUGCGCAUUCACCUAAGUGCGGGCCUCGAUACGCUUCUUCCCUUUCCGUCUUGUUAUUCUCUAUCUAUUCAUCGUUGUCUUUCAGACCAGAUGUGCAUAGAAUUUCAUCCAAGUAUUCAUCGAGGAAAACUAAGAAUCAUAUUGAAAGUAAAUUAAUGGUACAUAUCUUAGUAUGAAACUUUAAGGAAAGCUUGUUAUUUCGUCGGUAACAAAAAGAGAUUCGUCAUCCAUCGGAAGUUUGGUCGGUCCGUAGGGAGUCCCUUAGACUUAGCAACGAUUUUGAUGGAACGUUUUGGCGAGCAGGGAACAGCAGUGAUAGCUUUUUGACCACUCCUUCGUUGUACUUCGACUUCUCUUCCGGUCGUCAGAGAAGAAAAAGAAAUAAGAGAAUAAAAGAGAUAAUAAGGCAGGAAGUAUAAAGAGCUUUGUGAGAAGAAAAAGACAAGGAGCAAGAGAGAGAGAGGGAGAGAGAAGAAAUCAGAGAUAGGGAGGAAAAAAAUAUCCGUUCUAACGUCGUCGUAUCUUUUACGAGGCAGCCUUCUGAUAUCGUUCGUAGGAAGACGAUCGUGUUUGCGACACGACUCGACGACUCAUUGAAAAGCUAUAACGCUACUUCUAUCUCUAUUCUUGUCUCUUUCUCUCUCACUCUCCAUCUCCCUCUCUCUCUCUUCUAAACGUUUCUCUCAACUACAGGUCAUCUCUUUCAUACAGUCCUUCGUUUCGAAGAGUUAACCCACAACGUGCACGUGCUAGAAAGGAGAACACGUGUGUCGACUCUUUCGCCUUCUACGAGGACCCUGGAGCGGUCACGUUUCAAGCGUUAUUAAACGCUUCUUAUCCAACGCGACCUUGAUAUCGAUCCCUUCCAGCUCCCUUCCUCCCUCGAUCGUUGCAACGAAUCGAGAGAGCAUACGACGUGCAUAGGAUUUCUUAUGAAUGUUUGAUCUAUCAGCUGAAUCGACUGAUGCACGUUAUUCUUGUUAGAUGAUACAUUUGAAAUGUUUCUUCUUGAUAAAAGAAUGUUGAAGUAAAUCGUUUGAUUUUUUACUUAGUUCAUGUCUUUAUAAAAUAAAGAUUUUAGAGAAGGUUUCGUUCAACAUUUAUAUUUAUUAUUUUCAUUUUAUUAUAUCAACGAAUUAGUCGAAUCAAUUAUAUCAAAAUUUUAUACACAGUUUUAUUGUCUUAAUUAUGGAAAACUAUUCAGAACUAUUUAUUGUUAAGUCUAAUAAGUUCAAUUUUAAACAGCAUGCAAAUACUUUUAUCAUGUAUUGUAGAUUUAUGCAAAAGAGAUUUUAAAA